UUCGUUGAUAACAGUGAGAUAGAGAGAGAAACAAGAAAAAUAUCAUAGAAAAAACAGUAUUACAAGGGGGAAAAAGUACACACAAAGAGGAAUAGAGGAGCGUCUUCUGUUGAAAAUGGUGGAUUUACACUCAGGUGUAACAGAAGUACUGUAAAGGUUGGAUUUUGGUAAAGUUGAAAGGGUUUUUUUUUGGUUGACUGGUAGAGUUGAAAUUUGGGGAAAAAUAAAUGGCUGGUGACAAUGACGAAGGUCAUAGUGAUAUGGUCCAGAGACUUCAAUCAUCAUUUGGGACAUCAUCGUCUUCACUUCCUAAACAGCUUCAACCUAUUUCGAUGAACCAAUUGGACAUACCCCAGUUGACAACUUCUCAAUUUAGGGGUCAAAUGAGGCAAUUUUCUCCCAAUUUUGGUGUUGAAAAUAGUAAAAGAGUAGGUAUACCGCCUUCUCACCCGCAAAUGCCCCCUAUUUCACCAUAUUCUCAGAUCCCUGUAACCAGGCCAGGGAAUCAGCAAAUGGGUAUGCAGAACUUUACUAGUGCAGGGCCAUCACACUCGCGAUCUUUAUCACAACCAGCGUUUUUCUCACUGGAUUCCUUGCCACCCUUGAGCCCUUCACCGUAUAGGGAAUCCCCGUCCACGUCUAUGUCUGACCCGAUAUCUGCUGAUGUCUCAAUGGGUGAUCAGGAUGGCAAUUCACAUUCUUUAUUGCCGCCUACGCCUUUCUCUAGGUGUAAUUCAUCGAGGGCAGGGGAGAGUCUUCCUCCUCGUAAGGCUCAUAGGAGGUCUAAUAGUGAUAUACCAUUCGGCUUUUCUGGUAUAAUGCAGUCAUCACCACCACUUGUUCCGCUAAGGAGUCCUGGUGCUCUUGAAAGGUCAGUUCCUUCAAGGGAUAAUUUGGGUGGUAAACCAGUUCAGUUGGUUAAACGUGAAUCUAUGUGGGAAAGAGGAAAUGAUAAUAACAAUGUUGAAGGGAUGGGUGAGAGGAAAUCUGA
rnacentral:misc_RNA from 1 species